AUUGAACGCUGGCGGCAGGCCUAACACAUGCAAGUCGAACGGUAACAGGAAGAAUCUUGCUUCUUUGCUGACGAGUGGCGGACGGGUGAGUAAUGUCUGGGAAACUGCCUGAUGGAGGGGGAUAACUACUGGAAACGUUAGCUAAUACCGCAUAACGUCGCAAGACCAAAGAGGGGGACCUUCGGGCCUCUUGCCAUCGGAUGUGCCCAGAUGGUAUUAGCUAGUAGGUGGGGUAACGGCUCACCUAGGCGACGAUCCCUAGCUGGUCUGAGAGGAUGACCAGCAACACUGGAACUGAGACACGGUCCAGAGUCCUACGGGAGGCAGCAGUGGGGAAUAUUGCACAAUGGGCGAAAGCAUGAUGCAGCCAUGCCGCGUGUAUGAAGAAGGACUUCGGGUUGUAAAGUACUUUCAGCGGGGAGGAAGGGAGUAAAGUUAAUACCUUUGCUCAUUGACGUUACCCGCAGAAGAAGCACCGGCUAACUACGUG
rnacentral:rRNA from 1 species